ACGGUCGUAUAACGUUGAAACACCGGUUUCUAUACGACCAUCAAAGUUAAGCAACAUCGAGCCUGAUCUGUACCUAGAUGAGUGACCGCUUGCGUAUACCAGGUGU